AUUGAACGCUAGCGGGAUGCUUUACACAUGCAAGUCGAACGGCAGCGCGGACUUCGGUCUGGCGGCGAGUGGCGAACGGGUGAGUAAUGUAUCGGAACGUGCCCAGUAGCGGGGGAUAACUACGCGAAAGCGUAGCUAAUACCGCAUACGCCCUACGGGGGAAAGCAGGGGAUCGUAAGACCUUGCACUAUUGGAGCGGCCGAUAUCGGAUUAGCUAGUUGGUGAGGUAACGGCUCACCAAGGCGACGAUCCGUAGCUGGUUUGAGAGGACGACCAGCCACACUGGGACUGAGACACGGCCCAGACUCCUACGGGAGGCAGCAGUGGUGAACUUUGGACAAUGGGGGCAACCCUGAUCCAGCCAUCCCGCGUGUGCGAUGAAGGCCUUCGGGUUGUAAAGCACUUUUGGCAGGAAAGAAACGUCGCGGGCUAAUACCCCGUGGAACUGACGGUACCUGCAGAAUAAGCACCGGCUAACUACGUG
rnacentral:rRNA from 1 species